rnacentral:misc_RNA from 1 species
GAUCAUUACAGAGUUAUCUAACUCCCAAAACCAUGUGAACUUACCUAUGUUGCCUCGGCGGGGAAGCUAACCCGGUACCUACCCAGUAGUUACCCGGGAGGGCCUACCCUGUAGCUACCCUAUAGCGACCCGCCGGUGGACUGCUAAACUCUUGUUUUUAAGUGAUAUUCUGAGUGUUUAAACUUAAUUAGUUAAAACUUUCAACAACGGAUCUCUUGGUUCUGGCAUCGAUGAAGAACGCAGCGAAAUGCGAUAAGUAAUGUGAAUUGCAGAAUUCAGUGAAUCAUCGAAUCUUUGAACGCACAUUGCGCCCAUUAGUAUUCUAGUGGGCAUGCCUGUUCGAGCGUCAUUUCAACCCUUAAGCCUUAGUUGCUUAGUGUUGGGGGCUCGCCUAGCUAUAGACGCUGGCGACCCCUUAAAAAUAUCGGCGGAGUCGUGUCGACCCUAAGCGUAGUAAUUUAUUCCUCGCUUCAGGCUUGUAGGCGCUGGCGUCCGGCCGUUAAACCCCCUAUUUUUUAAUGGUUGACCUCGGAUCAGGUAGGAAUACCCGCUGAACUUAAGCAUAUCAAUAA